rnacentral:tRNA from 1 species
GCAGGCGUGGCCAAAUGGAUUAAGGCAUCUGGCUACGAACCAGAAGAUUGCAGGUUCGAGUCCUGCCGUCUGCA